GACGAACGCUGGCGGCGUGCUUAACACAUGCAAGUCGAACGGAAAGGCCCUGCUUUUGUGGGGUGCUCGAGUGGCGAACGGGUGAGUAACACGUGAGUAACCUGCCCUUGACUUUGGGAUAACUUCAGGAAACUGGGGCUAAUACCGGAUAGGAUCUCCUGCUGCAUGGUGUGGGUUGGAAAGUUUCGUCGGUUGGGGAUGGACUCGCGGCUUAUCAGCUUGUUGGUGGGGUAGUGGCUUACCAAGGCUUUGACGGGUAGCCGGCCUGAGAGGGUGACCGGCCACAUUGGGACUGAGAUACGGCCCAGACUCCUACGGGAGGCAGCAGUGGGGAAUAUUGCACAAUGGGCGGAAGCCUGAUGCAGCAACGCCGCGUGCGGGAUGACGGCCUUCGGGUUGUAAACCGCUUUCGCCUGUGACGAAGCGUGAGUGACGGUAAUGGGUAAAGAAGCACCGGCUAACUACGUG
rnacentral:rRNA from 1 species